UAACAUCACACAGUAAUGAGUAAAAGCAAUUGGCACAUUUUUGCUACUUGAGACAUUUUGGAGAGGUUUGGGGACACCAGUGACACUAUAAACUAAAGUCCCCCUAGCUCCUGUAAGCUUAGGCCUAGGGGUCUAGAAUUUUAUACAGGUGUGGUUGACAAUAUGUAGAAGGCAAGCAAGCUCCACAACAAGGGAAGCAUACUUAAAACUCAGGAAUGCACAUUUUGAUUUGUGAGAAUCUGACACUUUGUCAUCCCAAGUGUGUUUAUCAAUCUCUUAACAGCCCCUGAAAAUAGACGUACCACAGGCAGACGUCAGCAUACGAAAAUGCCCCUAAUAAACGUUUAUCUGAAUUGCUAUUGUCACCCCUCGUUAGUCGUCAUUCCAUACAGUGAACAGCUGAGUAUCAGCAAAUCUUCAUUUGCCGGAACCACAGCACAGGCCUUCAUGUGGCCCCAGGAGCAAGUCCAAGGAGCUGAGGGAAGCACCCGUCAAUAACACAGACUGCCUUGAAGGGUUUGGAGGGAUAGGCUGUCUGACUGACUCAGUUUCUCAGCUGCCACUUCACCAACUACCAGCAGCUUUUCAGAAAAUCAGGGCGGCUGGUUGCACAAGCUGUUUGAUCAACGAAACAAAAGCACGAGCUUUCAUGACUGAAAGCUUAUGGAUUUGAUUCUGUUGCAAAGUUGCACUGAGAGAAAAGCAACUGAAACAUCAGCUGCAUACCAAAGCAAACAGAACACACAACAAUCAAUGGAAAUAAUCUGAACUCUAUGGAUCCAGGUUAUAAAACUUGCAAACUUAUAAAACAUGAACAAAUAUUAUGAUGUUAUGGCGUGUAAACCUUGUACGUGCUGCUGUUGUUGUUAUUAAAAUUCUCA